rnacentral:rRNA from 1 species
UACGGAGGGUGCAAGCGUUUGUUCGGAUUUAUUGGGCGUAAAGCGCGUGUAGGCGGUUUCUUAAGUCUGAUGUGGAAGCCCUGGGCUCAACCCAGGAAGUGCAUUGGAUACUGGGAGACUUGAAUACGGGAGAGGGUAGUGGAAUUCCUAGUGUAGGAGUGAAAUCCGUAGAUAUUAGGAGGAACACCGGGUGGCGAAGGCGGCUACCUGGACCGAUAUUGACGCUGAGACGCGAAAGCGUGGGGAGCAAACAGG